GCGAGUGGCGACAGAACUUUGAAUGCACCUGUUUCCCAGAAUCACUGAAGUUAAGCAAUUUUGCGCGUGGCUAGUAUCCGAAUGUGUGACCAACUGGACAAUCGCGUGCUACUGGCU
rnacentral:rRNA from 1 species